UGGAAGAUGAGAUGCUGCAGGAUUCUUGUUGACCUCACUAAACUUCUUGACUCUCCGUUUCCUUGUCAAGACAGCUGGGCACUCUUCAGGAUCUGUGGAUACUUCAGGGGUUCACAAUCGCAGUCUAGUCUUUAAGAAGACAUUUGACUUCAUGGUCCAAGAUGGACCACGUUCAGUAUCCACAUUCUGAACAACAAGAUGGAGGAAGAAACAAGAAGAAGCAAAGAGCGCACUUGUGCUGUUUCUAAAAGACUCUCCCAUGAGUUGAAGGGCCAAGAGAAAAACUUGCGUUUCUGUUAAAACUUCAGCAGGCAUUUAUUAUGUCUUCAAUUGUUUUCGUUUUCUUUGCCUUAUGAUAAUCAGGCCAUACUUGGACCUGCUUUGACAUCCUCAUUGAACUUAUGCUUACUAGAGUGGCUCCCCUCAGUUCCCACUCAUUCUGCCUGAGCCAAAUUCCUGUUUCCUAUACCUGCCCACCAUUUGCUUGGCCCCAGGGUUAUGCCUAGCACUUAAAUUCACCACAAACAUCCCUUGAUACCGUACAUCAGAAACAAAAUGUGACCUACAGCAAACCUAAUGAUUAUAAAUUGCUCUUUUCCGAUCCUCCCAUUUUAUUGCUUCCCACUCCCCAAAAAAAGGACUUUAACCAAGUUGCCAAUUCAUCAGCAAUUUAUUUUUUUCCAUAAAGUCACCAAGCUGCCAAAACAUUCAGUUUGGCCAUUUAAAAUCAUUUGAAAUAAUGGCUUUACAUUUUUGGAAUUUAUUUGUUUAUAUAUUUAUAUUUCAUUGGUGCAAAAGUGCUUUCAAAGCAGGGAUUGCUCUCACUGGUUGAGGACAUAUCUUGACUCCCUAACGUUUUCACUGGAAGUUGACAGAGAUGAUAUUUAAAAUGUAUAACAAGUGAGAGCAUAGGCACAGACCAGUCAGGAUGGAUGCCAAUCACAGGUAAACCAUGGGGCUAUUCCAGUAUACAUUAGCAGCAUCUUGGUCCUGGCAGUGACCAUCUGUAAAAUAAGAACAAUAAAGUCCUACCUUCAGAGAAUUUAUUGUGAGCAUUAGAGAAGAUAAUUCAUGUGAAGGAUCUGGCAUAAUAUCUGACACAUUGCAAAAAGUCCAAGCUACCUUUAUUUUCUUAGUUAGCAGAUAUGCUUAUUUUCUUGAGCUCUUUGGCAAAAUUUUUGUAAACUUUAUCGAGCAGAAUGUCCAAUGUUACUUUUCAUAAUUCCCUUUUGAGUUCAGUUCCUGGUCAUCUGAUAAACAAAGAUAAGUUUUAGUUGCUCUGGAUGUUUGGUAAGCUAAAUUUAAGGUUUGGUUAUGAAGACUAUGCUAGCCUUCUUUGGAUAUAAUUGUUGCCUCUUUCCCUAAGAUAUUUAAGUUUUUAUUCUGAUAGCAUAGUGGUUAAAAACACAGGCUAUGAAAGCUAAGUAGGUUUGUAGCCCAUCUCUCCCAGUUCCUAGCUAUGAAAACUUGGGCCAGUUGCUCCACCCUUCUAAGCCUCAUUUCUCUCAUUUGUCCAAUAGGUAUAAUACAAUGCUGCUACCUUGUAGAUUCAACAAUAUACUUUAGAACAUCUAAAACAUCUUUCUACCUAGCAGAAAGAAAAACCACUCAGUCAGCAUUAGCUAUUCUUAUUUUGUUGUUAACUAUCUGUAUCUCUUUUCUGAAGUAAAGGCAGUAUCAGUCAUAAACUUAAACUAUGAAGAGGCCAUUAAAGGAGUUUUCAUUAAUCUUUUCAUUAUACAGGGUUCUGAUUUUUUAAAGGUCUUUAGUUUCUAUACAUAAAAUACUUGUAUUUAUUUACAGCAGUUGUAUAAACAAGGAUUCAAAAAUACUUAUACUACACUCAGAUGUGUAGAGAACAUGUACAGUAAUAUCUUUUUCGGUGAAUAAUGAAUCAGAUUCCCUUCAUGUGCUCCCACUUGUCAGGUAUUGUGGGGAAGAGGAACCACUAACUGUUAUGCCACUCCAAUAAACUUAAUCUACUGAAAUAAUUUAAAUAACCCUUUAGAUAAGCACUAAAUCUCUUUUAGUAGUUUAGUCUCUCAAAUUUUCACCACCUUCUUCCAGAGCCUCUCUUUUUUGUCAUCUGGGUUCAUAGAACAAGGGCAAUAGCUGAGUGUUCAAUGACAGCAGAGGUGACAUGAAGUCCUCAAAUCCUUGUGAUGGCAUCUGGGCCACUGCUUGUCUUUGCCAUUGAGUGGCUAUUCCCCAGUGCUCCCUGGUGAGUGCUCAAGGGUGACUGGCCCCAUCCCUGUGCCUUCUCCUGGCCAGUGCUGCUGAAGUGCAGUGUGGUACCUCAGCUUCUUCAGAACCAGGUUAUGCUCUUCCAGAUGGCUCAGCCUUGACUUGGCUUUCAACUGAUGCUGAAGACUCCUCUAAGACACUGCCUUUCCCUAUCCAGCCCUGAGCUAUGAUGCCUACCUAAGCUGUGCCAUUUUUACCAUAGCAGACCCCAUAGCAGGCCCACCUUCCUCAUGCCCCUUCAGCAAUAUACAGGGAUUUUCAUCUUUGCCAUCUAGAAACCAAGGACAACUCAGGAAAACUUAACUCAGGCCCAAACGCUAUGCAAUCACGCUGUGCCACAGAGAUCUCUGCUGUGGCUGCUCCCAGUUGGUAUAGAAGCUCCCUCUGGAGCCCCAAAUGUGGAACAAGGCAAUGCCCCUCAACAUGAAUGCUCUCAUUCUGGUCAAAGCUCAGAGAGUGGACACUAGGCCACUUGAUCCUCACCCUUCAUCUCUCUUCAAUCUGUUUCCCUUCUUCCCCACAAUCCCGUGGAACCCAAAAGGGCAACAUUCAUGCUUUCCACUUCCUUUAAGUCACAUCCUCCCUUGCAGACUCCAGCCUCAUGGUGGAAUCUUAAUGGUAGACAAGAUAUGGGAGAAAAAAAAUCGGCUUACUAAUUAGAUGAUUUUUAAAUGACUGCAUUACUAAUUGGCUUAUAGGUAUUUUUGGUUUAAAUAAAACUGUAUUGCAUUACCAUUAA